rnacentral:rRNA from 1 species
AGCCGCCGCGGUAACACCAGCGCCGCAAGUGGGAGCCGCGUUUAUUGGGCCUAAAGCGUUCGUAGCAGGUCUUGUAAAUUCUUUGUGAAAUCGUCAAGCUCAACUUGACGGCGCGCAGGGAACACUGCAAGACUUGGGACCGGGAGGAGUCAGAGGUAUUUUUAGGGGAACGGUAAAAUGUGAUAAUCCUAAGAGGACCACCUGUGGCGAAGGCGUCUGACCAGAACGGAUCCGACUGUGAGGAACGAAAGCUAGGGGAGCAAAUCGGAUUAGAUACCCGCGUAGUCCUAGCCGUAAACGCUGCGAGCAAGAUGUUGGGCAUCCUUCGAGGUUGCCCAGUGUCGAAACGAAGGUGUUAAGCUCGCCGCCUGGGAAGUAUAGUCGCAAGGCCGAAACUUAAAGGAAUUGGCGGGGGAGCACUACAAGGGGUGAAAUGUGCGGUUUAAUCUAACUCAACUCAGAGAAUCUCACCAGAGGCGACGGCAGUAUGAUGGUCAGUCUAAAGGGCUUACCGGACGAGCCGAGAGGUGGUGCAUGGCCGCCGUCAGCUCGUGCCGUAAGGUGUCCAGUUAAGUCUGGUAACGAGCGAGACCUGUGUUUACAGUUGCUAACAGCCACUUUAGUGGGACUGCGCACACUGUAGAGACUGCUGUGGAAACGCAGAGGAAGGUGCAGGCAACGGUAGGUCUGUAUGCCCCGAAUCUUCUGGGCUACACGCGCAUUGCAAUGGUAGGGACAAUGGGAUGCAACCCUGAGAAGGGAAGCUAAACCUCUAAACCCUAUCCAAGUCCGGAUCGAGGCUUGUAACCCAGCCUCGUGAAGCUGGAAUCCCUAGUAAUUGGGUGUCAUCAACGCCCAGUGAAUAUGUCCCUGCUCCU